rnacentral:rRNA from 1 species
AAAAGCUCGUAGUUGGAUCAAGAGUUGGACAGUGCAAGGUGGCCCUGUUUGUAUGCUUGGCUCCGGUCAGGCAUGCAGCAGCGGAACAACCCCUUGCGCCAAACUGUCCACUCUAACAGGCCGAAACGGUUCCCUGUGAGUAGGCUCCUUAAUUGGGGCUGAAAGCGCCUACGCAUCAACCAUAUGCAUACGGGACGUCGGUCAACGUUACUGUGAACAAACCAGCGUGUCCAAGGCAGGCUUUCGCCUGAAUGUUCGAGCAUGGAAUAACAAGGGAUCGAUUCUCUCGGUUCUUUUUGUUGGUUUUCAACCCGAGAAGGAGUUAUUCAGGCUACGGUGUCUGAGUUGGGUUUCCCUGGGCUUCGGCUCAGGCCCCAGUUAGGCCGUGUCCUUGCGGGAUCAAUAGGGACUGACGGGGUCGUACCUACUUCCGCGUCAGAGGUGAAAUUCUUAGAUCGCGGGAAGAUGAACUUCUGGCGAAAGCAUUCGACAAGGAAUGUCUUCAUCAAUCAAGAACGAAAGUGUGGGGAUCGAAGAUGGAUCGGAUACCGUCGUAGUCCACUACUGUAAACAAUGCCUUCUC